rnacentral:snRNA from 1 species
CUUGAGAUAGUUCUUUGUGAGG